UGCGUAGGCGGAAAAUUAAGUCAGUGGUGAAAUCCUGCAGCUUAACUGUAGAACUGUCAUUGAUACUGAUUUUCUUGAAUAUAGUUGAGGUAGGCGGAAUGUGUAAUGUAGCGGUGAAAUGCUUAGAUAUUACACAGAACACCGAUUGCGAAGGCAGCUUACUAAGCUAUUAUUGACGCUGAGGCACGAAAGCGUGGGGAGCGAACAGGAUUAGAUACCCUGGUGGUCC
rnacentral:rRNA from 1 species